AUUGAACGCUGGCGGCAUGCCUUACACAUGCAAGUCGAACGGUAACAGGUCUUCGGAUGCUGACGAGUGGCGAACGGGUGAGUAAUACAUCGGAACGUGCCCAGUCGUGGGGGAUAACGAAGCGAAAGCUUUGCUAAUACCGCAUACGAUCUACGGAUGAAAGCGGGGGAUCGCAAGCCCUCGCGCGAUUGGAGCGGCCGAUGGCAGAUUAGGUAGGUGGUAGGGUAAAGGCUUACCAAGCCUACGAUCUGUAGCUGGUCUGAGAGGACGACCAGCAGCACUGGGACUGGGACACGGCCCGGACGCCUACGGGAGGCAGCAGUGGGGAAUUAUGGACAAUGGGCGCAAGCCUGAUCCAGCAAUGCCGCGUGCAGGAUGAAGGCCUUCGGGUUGUAAACUGCUUUUGUACGGAACGAAAAGCUCUGGGUUAAUACCCUGGGGUCAUGACGGUACCGUAAGAAUAAGCACCGGCUAACUACGUGCCAGCCGCCGCAGUAA
rnacentral:rRNA from 1 species